AGAGUUUGAUCCUGGCUCAGGACGAACGCUGGCGGCGUGCCUAAUACAUGCAAGUAGAACGCUGAAGAGAGGAGCUUGCUCUUCUUGGAUGAGUUGCGAACGGGUGAGUAACGCGUAGGUAACCUGCCUUGUAGCGGGGGGAUAACUAUUGGAAACGAUAGCUAAUACCGCAUAACAAUGGAUGACACAUGUCAUUUAUUUGAAAGGGGCAAUUGUUCCACUACAAGAUGGACCUGCGUUGUAUUAGCUAGUAGGUGAGGUAAUGGCUCACCUAGGCGACGAUACAUAGCCGACCUGAGAGGGUGAUCGGCCACACUGGGACUGAGACACGGCCCAGACUCCUACGGGAGGCAGCAGUAGGGAAUCUUCGGCAAUGGGGGCAACCCUGACCGAGCAACGCCGCGUGAGUGAAGAAGGUUUUCGGAUCGUAAAGCUCUGUUGUAAGUCAAGAACGGGUGUGAGAGUGGAAAGUUCACACUGUGACGGUAGCUUACCAGAAAGGGACGGCUAACUACGUGCCAGCAGCCGCGGUAAUACGUAGGUCCCGAGCGUUGUCCUGAUUUAUUGGGCGUAAAGCGAGCGCAGGCGGUUUGAUAAGUCUGAAGUUAAAGGCUGUGGCUCAACCAUAGUUCGCUUUGGAAACUGUCAAACUUGAGUGCAGAAGGGGAGAGUGGAAUUCCAUGUGUAGCGGUGAAAUGCGUAGAUAUAUGGAGGAACACCGGUGGCGAAAGCGGCUCUCUGGUCUGUAACUGACGCUGAGGCUCGAAAGCGUGGGGAGCGAACAGGAUUAGAUACCCUGGUAGUCCACGCCGUAAACGAUGAGUGCUAGGUGUUGGAUCCUUUCCGGGAUUCAGUGCCGCAGCUAACGCAUUAAGCACUCCGCCUGGGGAGUACGACCGCAAGGUUGAAACUCAAAGGAAUUGACGGGGGCCCGCACAAGCGGUGGAGCAUGUGGUUUAAUUCGAAGCAACGCGAAGAACCUUACCAGGUCUUGACAUCCCGAUGCUAUUUCUAGAGAUAGAAAGUUACUUCGGUACAUCGGUGACAGGUGGUGCAUGGUUGUCGUCAGCUCGUGUCGUGAGAUGUUGGGCUAAGUCCCGCAACGAGCGCAACCCCUAUUGUUAGUUGCCAUCAUUCAGUUGGGCACUCUAGCGAGACUGCCGGUAAUAAACCGGAGGAAGGUGGGGAUGACGUCAAAUCAUCGUGCCCCUUAUGACCUGGGCUACACACGUGCUACAAUGGUUGGUACAACGAGUUGCGAGUCGGUGACGGCGAGCUAAUCUCUUAAAGCCAAUCUCAGUUCGGAUUGUAGGCUGCAACUCGCCUACAUGAAGUCGGAAUCGCUAGUAAUCGCGGAUCAGCACGCCGCGGUGAAUACGUUCCCGGGCCUUGUACACACCGCCCGUCACACCACGAGAGUUUGUAACACCCGAAGUCGGUGAGGUAACCUUUUGGAGCCAGCCGCCUAAGGUGGGACAGAUGAUUGGGGUGAAGUCGUAACAAGGUA
rnacentral:rRNA from 1 species